UUAGCAACAAUUUCAUGAGCUUAAGCUUGUUUCGGUGACGUUAAAUUAUUAGCAUCGAUUCACUUUUACCUAAUCACUGAAUUUCGAAUAUUUUAUUGCAUACAAUAACAGUGAAUGCAAAACCUCAGGGAUUCGUGUCAUGUUUAGUUGCCUAAUUUACAUAUAUACGGCGCUAGCAGUUAUGUGAUAUUAUUACGCAUAAAUAUAUUUUGCACUCUUAUUAAUAUUAUACACACAACAUACACGGGUAAUAGAAAUUAUCUACUUCAAUUUUCGUCAUAAUUAUGUUUGGUGCACAAUUUUCG